CCUACGGGAGGCAGCAGUGGGGAAUAUUGCACAAUGGGGGAAACCCUGAUGCAGCGACGCCGCGUGAGCGAUGAAGUAUUUCUGGAUGUAAAGCUCUAUCAGCAGGGAAGAAAAUGACGGUACCUGACUAAGAAGCCCCGGCUAACUACGGGACAGCAGCCGCGGUAAUACGUAGGGGGCAAGCGUUAUCCGGAUUUACUGGGUGUAAAGGGAGCGUAGACGGUCCUGCAAGCCCGCUGUGAAAGCCCGGGGCCCAACCCCUGGACUGCAUUUGGAACUGUAAGGCUAGAGUGUCGGAGAGGCAGGCGGAAUGCCUAGUGUAGCGGUGAAAUGCGUAGAUAUGAGGAGGAACACCAGUGGCGAAGGCGGCCUGCUGGACGAUGACUGACGUUGAGGCUCGAAAGCGUGGGGAGCAAACAGGAUUAGAUACCCCGGUAGUC
rnacentral:rRNA from 1 species